rnacentral:rRNA from 1 species
CUACAGAACGAACGCUGGCGGCAUGCCUAACACAUGCAAGUCGAACGAAGCCUUCGGGCUUAGUGGCGCACGGGUGCGUAACACGUGGGAAUCUGCCCUUCGGUUCGGAAUAACAGUUAGAAAUGACUGCUAAUACCGGAUGAUGACGAAAGUCCAAAGAUUUAUCGCCGAAGGAUGAGCCCGCGUAGGAUUAGGUAGUUGGUAGGGUAAUGGCCUACCAAGCCGACGAUCCUUAGCUGGUCUGAGAGGAUGAUCAGCCACACUGGGACUGAGACACGGCCCAGACUCCUACGGGAGGCAGCAGUGGGGAAUAUUGGACAAUGGGCGAAAGCCUGAUCCAGCAAUGCCGCGUGAGUGAUGAAGGCCUUAGGGUUGUAAAGCUCUUUUACCAGGGAUGAUAAUGACAGUACCUGGAGAAUAAGCUCCGGCUAACUCCGUG